rnacentral:lncRNA from 1 species
CUGCUCCCACGCUGUUGGGGCGGGGGCGGGGGGGGGGUUGUUCUUUUGCUCCUUGGGUCCACACUGCGUUUAUGAGCUGUAAUAUUCACCGCAAAGGUCUGCAGCUUCACUACUAAGCCAACGAGACCACAAACCCACCAGGAGGAACGACAAUUCCAGACGCGUGGCUUUAACAGCUGUUAACACUCACCGCGAAGGUCUGUAGCUUCAUUUCUGAGUCAGCGAGACCACGAACCCACCAGAAAGAAGAAACUCCGAACACACCCGAACCUCAGAAGGAACAAAUUCCGGACACGCCGCCUUUAAGAACUGUAACACUCACCACAAGGGUCCGCGGCUUCAUUCUUGAAGUCAGUGAGACCAAGAACCCACUAAUUCCGGACACACUUUGACCAGCAGAGCAGGCAGAAGUAAAGCCACGGUUCACAGAAGUGGCUGCCCCGGCUGGACACAGGCUCAAUCUUGCUGGAAUCUGUCCUCUUACUCCCCUACCCCAGCCCAGUGCCCCACCAGCGUGCUCCACUCAGCAUCCUGAUUUUCCCUGGAAUGUGCCACUUUGCCACCAUUUCCCUUUCAACAGAUGGAAUAUAGCAAGUUCGCUUUCUGUAUCAAUCAUGUCACAAAUCAUUAAGCAUAUCGACAUCAAGCAGAGCCAGCCUGUGUAGUCGCAAAGGGGUCGGGUGUUCUUCCACUGCCGAGCAGGAACCCUUCCCCAGACCACAGCUUUAACAGCCGAUCUUCAGAAGCCAGAGACAGGAGGUCCUGACAAAGGGCAGUCCAGCUCUGCAUUCAUCUAACAGCAAAAGCUGGUUGCACAGCCACCCAGGGCUUCCACAGCCUCCCCCAACGCCAGUGCCCUGGGUCCAAGAGCAGAAUCUCAGUGUUCCUGCAGAAGUCACCAUGGAAGAAUAAUCGUGUUGUGAUUUUGAAAGGAAAUUGAAAUCCCCUCUUUACUGCUUUCUAAAUGAACCUUAUAAUUUUCUCCCUGUCUACAACCUCCCUGUGCACUGGCUUCUCUGUAUCUGUGUGCAUAUUUGUGCGAGAGAGAGUGAGCUCAGUUCUAG